rnacentral:rRNA from 1 species
AUUGAACGCUGGCGGCAUGCCUUACACAUGCAAGUCGAACGGUAACAGGUCUUCGGAUGCUGACGAGUGGCGAACGGGUGAGUAAUACAUCGGAACGUGCCUAGUAGUGGGGGAUAACUACUCGAAAGAGUGGCUAAUACCGCAUGAGAUCUACGGAUGAAAGCAGGGGAUCGCAAGACCUUGUGCUACUAGAGCGGCCGAUGGCAGAUUAGGUAGUUGGUGGGAUAAAAGCUUACCAAGCCGACGAUCUGUAGCUGGUCUGAGAGGACGAUCAGCCACACUGGGAUUGAGACACGGCCCAGACUCCUACGGGAGGCAGCAGUGGGGAAUUUUGGACAAUGGGCGCAAGCCUGAUCCAGCAAUGCCGCGUGCAGGAUGAAGGCCUUCGGGUUGUAAACUGCUUUUGUACGGAACGAAAAGCCCUGGGUUAAUACCCUGGGGUCAUGACGGUACCGUAAGAAUAAGCACCGGUUAACUACGUGCCAGCCGCCGCAGUAA